GCAUUAAUGGGGUAGUGGUAACCUGGGUCGUUGCCAUGGUCUGCUGAAUAUCGGACUCGACCCGCCGGGGGGUCGAUUCCCCCUUAAUGCA